GGGUGCGUAGCUCAGUGGGAGAGCACUACGUUGACAUCGUAGGGGUCGCUGGUUCAAUCCCAGCCGCGCCCACCA
rnacentral:tRNA from 1 species